rnacentral:rRNA from 1 species
AUUGAACGCUGGCGGCAUGCUUUACACAUGCCAGUCGAACGGCAGCGCGGGCUUCGGCCUGGCGGCGAGUGGCGAACGGGUGAGUAAUGCAUCGGAACGUGCCCAGUAGUGGGGGAUAGCCCGGCGAAAGCCGGAUUAAUACCGCAUACGACCUGAGGGUGAAAGCGGGGGACCGAAAGGCCUCGCGCUAUUGGAGCGGCCGAUGUCGGAUUAGCUAGUUGGUGGGGUAAAGGCUUACCAAGGCGACGAUCCGUAGCUGGUCUGAGAGGACGACCAGCCACACUGGGACUGAGACACGGCCCAGACUCCUACGGGAGGCAGCAGUGGGGAAUUUUGGACAAUGGGGGCAACCCUGAUCCAGCCAUGCCGCGUGCGGGAAGAAGGCCUUCGGGUUGUAAACCGCUUUUGUUCGGGAAGAAAUCCUCUGGGCUAAUACCCCGGGGGGAUGACGGUACCGGAAGAAUAAGCACCAGCUAACUACGUG